AUUAUAUUGACAAGCCCGCCAUAAAUUUGUAAAUCAAGAUAAGUAGCAUCAGCAGGGAAAUAUUGCUUGAGAUGCUUUAAGAUGGCUUCCUGUAACACCUGUAGAAAGUGAAAUGAAAUUAUCUUUCAGUGAAAGUAUGACAACAUCCCCCCCCCUUCCUCCACCUCCCAAUCUUUGGCAUUGAUAACUUUCACACAUUCUGGGUAACUGUUUCAAAUUUCCAAAUGUAUUGUGAUUCACCGAAGAGGAAUAAGAAAUAUUUAAACAUUUUAAGUCACUGUUCCUAUCACAGAAUCAACUCUCCCUAAAAUAAGAUUUCCAUAAUUCCUCUGUCCAUGAGCUACAAUUUUGUUUAUUGGAAGAAGUUACACUCAAAUGAAGGGAACAUGGUAA